AGUGAACGCUGGCGGUAGGCCUAACACAUGCAAGUCGAACGGCAGCACAGUAAGAGCUUGCUCUUACGGGUGGCGAGUGGCGGACGGGUGAGGAAUACAUCGGAAUCUACUUUUUCGUGGGGGAUAACGUAGGGAAACUUACGCUAAUACCGCAUACGACCUACGGGUGAAAGCAGGGGAUCUUCGGACCUUGCGCGAUUGAAUGAGCCGAUGUCGGAUUAGCUAGUUGGCGGGGUAAAGACCCACCAAGGCGACGAUCCGUAGCUGGUCUGAGAGGAUGAUCAGCCACACUGGAACGGAGACACGGUCCAGACUCCUACGGGAGGCAGCAGUGGGGAAUAUUGGACAAUGGGCGCAAGCCUGGUCCAGCCAUACCGCGUGGGUGAAGAAGGCCUUCGGGUUGUAAAGCCCUUUUGUUGGGAAAGAAAAGCAGCAGGUUAAUACCCCGCUGUUCUGACGGUACCCAAAGAAUAAGCACCGGCUAACUUCGUG
rnacentral:rRNA from 1 species